rnacentral:rRNA from 1 species
GACGAACGCUGGCGGCGUGCUUAACACAUGCAAGUCGAACGGAAAGGCCCUGCUUUUGUGGGGUGCUCGAGUGGCGAACGGGUGAGUAACACGUGAGUAACCUGCCCUUGACUUUGGGAUAACUUCAGGAAACUGGGGCUAAUACCGGAUAGGAGCUCCUGCUGCAUGGUGGGGGUUGGAAAGUUUCGGCGGUUGGGGAUGGACUCGCGGCUUAUCAGCUUGUUGGUGGGGUAGUGGCUUACCAAGGCUUUGACGGGUAGCCGGCCUGAGAGGGUGGCCGGCCACAUUGGGACUGAGAGACGGCCCAGACUCCUACGGGCGGCAGCGGUGGGGAGUAUUGCACAAGGGGCGGAAGCCUGAUGCAGCAACGCCGCGUGCGGGAUGACGGCCUUCGGGUUGUAAACCGCUUUCGCCUGUGACGAAGCGUGAGUGACGGUAAUGGGUAAAGAAGCACCGGCUAACUACGUG